AGGCCCGUUUCAUAUGUGAGUUCAUUUCAUCUGCCGGAAGCCAUGAGGACAAAGAGAAGAGAAAAGAGGAAGAUUGCUUGUGCCAGAUAAAGGCCAACUGAUGGCUUGCUGCGACAAUCAAGUUCCGCUGGAGAAAAGGGAACUUGUGGACUGGGUACUGCUCAGGUGUUCUCUUAGCUUUUUAGCUAAGAUUUCCUGAAUGAGUCACUCUCUGAGACCUGCAUACUCAUCACCCAAUGAAAAUUUGUGAAGCACCUAUUAUGUGCCAUCCUGUCACGUGGAUGCAUCAC